UGGGAUGUAGCCAAGCGGCAAGGCAGCGGGUUUUGAUCCCGUGAUCGGUGGUUCGAAUCCAUCCAUCCCAG
rnacentral:tRNA from 1 species